AAAGGAGACAUGAUUUGAAAAAGUUAUAAAUGAUAUUAAUAUUAAUAUAUGGAAACUCAUAAAUUAUAUAUAUAUAAUAUAUAUAUAAGACUUAUGUUAUAGAAAGGAUAAAUUAGUUUGGCAUAAGCCGAUCCUAACUAGAAAUAGUAAAUAAAAAAGUAUGUGAAUUGAAACAUCUUAGUAACAUAUGUAAAAACCAAUAGGGAUAACAGUAGUAUCGGUGAGAGAAUCUGUUGUUGUAUACAAGUAAUACUUAGAAGUAUGAAUAAAGUAGUAUCUACUACUAAUACAUAAACUAUAACAUAAAGUUAAAAGUACUGUAAAGGAAAGAGUUAAAAAAUCAAAUUAUAUAAUAAAAAUAUAUAUAAGAGAUAAAAAGAAAUAUAUUAAUAAAGAGCAACUAUAGUAUAGUGUACCUCUUGUAUAAUGGGUCAGUGAGUUAUUUUUAUAAGCGAAAUAAGAAUUAUAUAUAAUAAGAUAAAGUUUAUAGGAAUAGACCCGAAAGCACAUGAUCUAUAUAUGUAUAGAUAUAUAUUUAAAAUAAAUAUAUGAUCAAAUAGGUAGAUGUAGCAAUAUCUUCUAAAGAUAUGUGUAUAGUAGUGAAAGGCAAAACUGAUGUGCAGAUAGCUGGUUAUCUACGAAAUAUAUGUUAGUAUAGCCCUUAUAAUAGCGUAAACCCUGGUAAAGCACUUAAUACCAUAUGGGAAUAAAUUUAUUUACUAUAUGUAUUAAACCUCUGAACAGGAGUGAUAUGACAUAUAAGGAGUCAGACUUAUUGCGAUAAGGUAAUAAGUCGAAAAGGGAAUAACCUAGACUAUUAAAUGAAGGUCCCAAAUCCUCAUUAAGUGAAUACAAUCCUAUGAGUAGAUAAAUACCUCAAUAUAUUCCAUAAAGGAAUAAUUUUGAUCAGACAAUUAGUCAGUGGGUUUGAUAAUAAUCACCUGUUAAAGAACAUGUAAAAAUGCACUAAUAGAAUUUAUAUCAAAAAAAGAUAUAUAAAUCAAAAGAUAGGAACAAAUAUACGGGUCUAAAUGUAGGAACCGAAUAAUAGAUAUAAUAAAAAAUAUUAUAUAGUAGUAGAUUAUAUAGUGAUAAUAACUAUAAAGACAAUGCUGACUUGAGUAACGAUAGGUAAUUAAGGAUUACCCCUACAAAACACAAGGUUUAACUAUAAAUUAACGGUAUCUAAGUAUAUAUAUGAAGAUAUAUAUAUGAUGAUAGAUAGUACAGGAAAAUGUAGUAACCGUACCGCAGUCCGACCCAGGUGUGUAAAUGAUAAAAAAUAAUCAUAAUAUAAAUCUUAUAACUAAUAAGAAAGAUAUUGAGUAGGAAUGGGUGAAGUAUCAUAAAUGAACUCGGCAAAUAAGGCAAGGCCUGAAUAGUACGACUGUUUACCAAAAACACAGCUUACUGCAAAUAGGAAACUAUCGGUAUAGUAAGUGAUAUCUGUCCGGUGUAAGUUAGAUAAAUAAAUAAUUGACUUAUAAACGACGGUCUUAUCAUGAGGAUCUGAAAGUAGCAAAAUUCAUUGGCAUAUAAUUGGUGUCCCGCAUGAAUGAUUAUACGAUACUAUAGCUGUAUCUAUGGUAUACCCAGUGAAAUAGUAAUCGCAGUGAAGAUACUGUGUAGUCAUAGAUUGACAAAAAGACCCUAUGCAGCUUUACUAUAUUCUUAUACUGUUAUAUAUAUAUAUAUUUAAAUUAAAUAUUUUUAUUUAUAUGUUUAUUUCUUUAUAUAUAUAACUAACCUUUAUUAAGGUACCAUAUAAGAUGGUUAGUUUCGAUGGGGCGUCGGCAUCACAAAACAUAACUGAUGUGUCUAAAUGAUAUUUUAUAUUCCCUUAUAUUUUAUUACUUUUUAGUUUUAUUUAUAAGGCCAUCAUCUUUUUAAGAUAAUAAUAGAAUAAAUAAGUACAGAUACACUAGUUGGCAACUAGUAUUAAUUAAUAUAAUAUUAUUUAUUAUAUUAUUCCUCAUUUUUGAUGUGGAAUCAUAUAUGUAAUACAUAUAUAAUUAAUUUUAUUUAUAAGGAUAAUAACAUAACUGUGCUAUGAUAAUGACACAUACUUGUGGAAUUAGUACUUAAGUAUAGUAUAUUGAACAGGCAAUAUCAUUAGAAUUGAGUGUCGAUUACGGAUUAAAGUUACGCUAGGGAUA
rnacentral:rRNA from 1 species